rnacentral:rRNA from 1 species
GGGCCCGCACAAGCGGUGGAGCAUGUGGUUUAAUUCGAUGAUACGCGAGGAACCUUACCAGGGCUUAAAUGUAGUGGGACAGGUCUAGAGAUAGACCCUUCUUCGGACUCAUUACAAGGUGCUGCAUGGUUGUCGUCAGCUCGUGCCGUGAGGUGUCAGGUUAAGUCCUAUAACGAGCGCAACCCCUACCGUUAGUUGCCAGCGAUUCAAGUCGGGGACUCUAACGGGACUGCCGGUGCAAACCGUGAGGAAGGUGGGGACGACGUCAAAUCAUCACGGCCCUUACGUCCUGGCUACACACGUGCUACAAUGGCCGGUACAGAGAGCAGCCACUUCGCAAGAAGGAG